UACGUAGGGUCCGAGCGUUGUCCGGAAUUACUGGGCGUAAAGAGCUCGUAGGUGGUUUGUCGCGUUGUUCGUGAAAACUCACAGCUUAACUGUGGGCGUGCGGGCGAGUACGGGCAGACUUGAGUACUGCAGGGGAGACUGGGAAUUCCUGGUGUAGCGGUGGAAUGCGCAGAUAUCAGGAGGAACACCGGUGGCGAAGGCGGGUCUCUGGGCAGUAACUGACGCUGAGGAGCGAAAGCGUGGGGAGCGAACAGG
rnacentral:rRNA from 1 species